rnacentral:rRNA from 1 species
GACGAACGCUGGCGGCGUGCCUAAUACAUGCAAGUAGAACGCUGAAGGAGGAGCUUGCUUCUCUGGAUGAGUUGCGAACGGGUGAGUAACGCGUAGGUAACCUGCCUGGUAGCGGGGGAUAACUAUUGGAAACGAUAGCUAAUACCGCAUAAGAGUAGAUGUCGCAUGACAUUUGCUUAAAAGGUGCAAUUUCAUCACUACCAGAUGGACCUGCGUUGUAUUAGCUAGUUGGUGAGGUAACGGCUCACCAAGGCAACGAUACAUAGCCGACCUGAGAGGGGGAUCGGCCACACUGGGACUGAGACACGGCCCAGACUCCUACGGGGGGCAGCAGUAGGGAAUCUUCGGAAAUGGACGGAAGUCUGACCGAGCAACGCCGCGUGAGUGAAGAAGGUUUUCGGAUCGUAAAGCUCUGUUGUAAGAGAAGAACGAGUGUGAGAGUGGAAAGUUCACACUGUGACGGUAUCUUACCAGAAAGGGACGGCUAACUACGUG